GAAUCUUCCGCAAUGGGCGAAAGCCUGACGGAGCGACGCCGCGUGGGGGACGAAGGCCUUCGGGUCGUAAACCCCUGUCAGAGGGAAAGAUGGGUGCCGGUGUCAAUAGCGCCGGCCUUUGACGGUACCCUCAGAGGAAGCCACGGCCCACUCCGUGCCAGCACCCGCGGUAAUACGGAGGUGGCAAGCGUUGCUCGGAAUCACUGGGCGUAAAGGGCGCGUAGGCGGGGAGGUAAGUCGGGUGUGAAAUCCCUCGGCCCAACCGAGGAACUGCGCCCGAGACUGCUUCUCUUGAGUCCCGGAGAGGAAGGUGGAAUUCCCGGUGUAGCGGUGAAAUGUGUAGAGAUCGGGAGGAACACCGGUGGCGAAGGCGGCCUUCUGGACGGUGACUGACGCUGAGGCGCGAAAGCGUGGGGAGCAAACGGG
rnacentral:rRNA from 1 species